UAUAUCAGUGAAAUUGGGCGAUUUUACAAACCCUGGUUUUUUAAACACGUUGAAUCAUUCUUAUUAUUACAAAAGAAUGCCGAAGAAUAUAUUCCAUUAAAAGAUUAUUACUUUAGACAUAAUAAUUCUUUAUUUUGGGAAGUACAGGACAUAAUACCUUUUGGAAACCAUCCAGUAUUUCGUAAUCUAUUGGGAUGGAUAAUGCCAGCAAAAGUGGCUCUACUGAAAUUGACACAAACUGAUACCAUUAAGUGAUUAUACACUGAACAUCAAGUCAGAGAUGACUUCAUACUACCAAUUUCAAGUCUGAAAAAAUCUGUAGAAAAAUUUCAUACACUUAAAUAUUUAUCCUAUUUGGAUAUACCUAACUAUUUUAAAUCCAGGCCACGGUCUCGUACACUCACAUGCGUCAGUAGACAAUAUGUUCAUUGAUAUUGGUUUAUACGGAGAGCCCAAUGUGUCCAAUUAUAACUCAGAUACGGUGAAGGAUUUAGAACUAUUUGUACUCAAGUCAAAAGGAUUUAAGAUGAUGUAUGUCGGCACUUAUUUGAAUAUAUAUAUGAGUUCAAGAAAAUGUUUAAUCAUUGUUUGUAUCAGCGUAUAAGAAUGCAGCUUAACUGUGAAUACAACUUUCCAAAAGUCUACGACAAAGUGAAUAAUAAAGUUAGGAGAUAAUAUCUCAAUACUAGUUAUAAAAUAAAAAUCAGAACAAUGAAUGCUAACAUUAAAUAUCAUCUCUAAUAUUUAAUCACUUCACAUUUCAAUUUUCAUUAUGCAUAAGUUAUGUAUAAUUAGUAAUAAUUUGAUUUUUAAUAUAAAUUAUUUAACAUAAUUUUAAAAACAUUUUUUUUUCUGAAUAAAAACGGUUAUAUCAAACAAAAAUUUGUUUAGCUUAUAACAUUUCUUACAACUAAUAUGCUAUAAGUGUUUUAUUGUAUCCAAAGUAAAAUAAAAUAAAAGACAAGACAAUUUUAAUUUCAUAAGGACUAUAAAUUGGAUACUUAAAUAUUUAAUUUGUUGACAGUAAUUAAAUAAAAAUGAGUCACAUAAAAAAAAGUUUGCUUUUAAUCAUUUAUUAAUCAAGAUCAUCAGUUUACCUAUACAUAAUGACAACAUUUGAAAUAAAGGUUUUGUAUUUUGUGUCUUAGUCUUAAUCACAAAUGGGAAAUACAACCAUAUCAAUUAUUUUUAAUGAUUGAAUACAAAAAAAAAUUAUAAUAAUAAAUGAACUGAAUGUAGAAACAAAUAAAUUUAAUUAUUCAAUAUUGAAAAAAAUCACUUAUCAUAGUCAAUUACACACAAUGGUUUAAAAAAAAGUAAAAAUAAUAAUAAUAGAUUCAAAACAAAUUAAUGGAAAUUAUAAUUUGAAGUAAUUUAUGUAAGCCAAAUUUGGCAAUUAUAAAAUUAUAAAAAUAGUAUGAUUACAAAAAAAAAAAA